rnacentral:tmRNA from 1 species
CCCCUUUUCAGCCGGGGGAUCUCUCCCUAUAUUGAGAGGUGCCGGCGCAAGCUGGCUAUGACGAUAAACGGACCGCGUAAUAAGCCUAUCGGACCCGGGGGCGGUACCCGGCGCCUCCACCCAAGCCCGUCAAUGCCGGACAUUCCGGCGCCGGCGGGCUUCGGCGGGGGCGAAACAGGAUCGACGAGGGUGUAAAGGCCGUCUUUUCGUUCGGCAUGGUUCCGCCGUUAUCGGGCCGUCUCAAUAGUUGCAAACGACAACUAUGCUAUGGACAACGCUGUCGCCGCGUAAUGCGGUGCCAGUAGUCCACUAAAGCCCUGCGGGUUAGCCCCUGCAGGCGGGGUUCGGAGGCACCUGGCAACAGAAGCCUCCACU